UAGAAGCUUAAAAGGACAAUAAGAUAUUAAAUUUAAAUAUUAAAUAAGAAACUACAAUGAGUCCAGGUCAUCAUGAUUAGCAUAAGUGUAACAAUACCAUAUAAGGAAGUUCUCAUAUCCAAAUGUUAUAUUUAAAUACUAGAGACUUCUGUGAAGGGUAGGACCUUUACAGAAAUGAAACAUCAAACAAGAAAGAUUUUGAAUCUGUCUUUGUAGAGUGGAUAGGUUUUCAAAGGUAGAAGAAAAGGAAUUAAUAGAUAACAAUUCUGGAAUACGAGAUUAACCCAUGUUGCUUUUCUUUUACAUUGAAAAAAGAAA